AAAAAAAUAAACGAAAAAAUAAACCCCAAUUUUAUCCAUCUCUCCCUCUCUCUUUGUCUCCCUCUUACUCUGUGUGUGUGUGUUUUUGCGGGACAUGUUACGUAUAUGUGAGCGUCUCGUAGCGAGCUGUGGGUGAGAGAGCCCAAUUCGAUUUGGGUACUGCACCGAACACCUCUGUUUUCGCUUUCUCAUUGCCUCCGAGAUCAUGACGGGGAAGAAGAUUAUAGCGAUAUGUCAGUCAGGGGGAGAAUUUGAGACAGAUAGAGAUGGUUCGUUGUUGUAUAGGGGUGGUGAUGCUCACGCUAUAGACAUUGAUGACCAAAUGAAGUUUAAUGAGUUUAAGAUGGAAGUGGCAGAAAUGUUUAAUUGUAGCAUUGAUACCAUGUUUAUCAAAUACUUCCUUCCCGGAAACAAAAAGACACUCAUUACGAUUUCCAAUGACAAGGAUCUAAAGCGCAUGAUAAAAUUCCAUGGGGACUCUGUCACUGCUGAUGUUUAUGUCAUUAUGGAAGAAAUUGUUACCCCCGAUGUGUCAAACUUCCCUGCCAGUAGGUCAAGCAGAACAACUUUGUCAGAAACUGUUCUUCCAGUUGAUGCCCCCCUUGCUGUUGUUGAUGAUAUUGUGGAUGAUACCACCCAGCCAGAAAUCCCCCUUGAUGCUCCUCUUGAUGUUGUAGAUGAUACCAACCAUGUUGAUGCCCAUAUUGAUAUACCCUCUGAAAUUUCUCCCAUUUUAGCUAUCACUGGUUCCAAUGACGAGAAGCAUGCUAAAGGUGCACAGCAGUGGCAGAAUACUAUUACAGGAGUGGGGCAAAGGUUCAGCAGUGUUCAUGAAUUUCGUGAAUCAUUGCGUAAAUAUGCCAUUGCACACCAGUUUGCAUUCAGGUACAAGAAGAAUGAUAGUCAUCGCGUGACUGUCAAAUGCAAAGCAGAAGGCUGCCCUUGGAGAAUCCAUGCAUCAAGGUUGUCAACCACUCAAUUAAUAUGUAUUAAAAAGAUGAAUCCAACACAUACAUGCGAAGGGGCUGUUGCAACAACAGGGCAUCAGGCGACUAGGAGUUGGGUGGCUAGUAUUAUCAAGGAGAAGUUGAAAGUUUUCCCAAAUUAUAAGCCCAAGGAUAUUGUCAAUGACAUCAAACAGGAAUAUGGAAUACAACUGAACUAUUUUCAGGCAUGGCGCGGGAAAGAAAUUGCAAAGGAGCAACUUCAGGGUUCAUACAAAGAGGCAUAUAAUCAGUUACCUUUCUUUUGUGGGAAGAUAAUGGAGACCAAUCCAGGAAGUCUUGCUACUUUCACCACUAAGGAGGACUCAAGUUUCCAUCGUCUCUUUGUGUCCUUCCAUGCCUCAUUAUAUGGUUUCCAACAAGGUUGCCGGCCUCUCCUUUUUCUUGAUAGUAUACACUUAAAGUCAAAAUAUCAAGGCACCUUGUUAGCUGCAACAGCAGCAGAUGGGGAUGAUGGUGUUUUUCCUGUUGCUUUUGCCGUAGUUGAUGCCGAAUCUGAUGAUAACUGGCAUUGGUUCUUGCUACAACUGAAAUCUGCUCUGUCAACAUCUUUCGUGAUAACAUUUGUGGCCGACAGACAAAAGGGGUUAAGGGAGUCCAUUGCUGAUGUAUUUACGGGUUCGUACCAUGGCUACUGCUUAAAAUACUUGACCGAGCAACUUCUUAGAGACUUGAAAGGGCAGUUUUCUCAUGAGGUGAAGCGACUCAUGGUUGAGGAUUUUUAUGCUGCUGCUUAUGCACCUACUGCAGAAAGCUUUCAAAGAUGUAUUGAUAGCAUUAAAAGUAUUUCUACAGAAGCUUACAAUUGGAUCAUACAAAGUGAGCCCCAGAACUGGGCAAAUUCAUAUUUUCAGGGUUCCAGAUAUGACCAUAUGGCAUCGAACUUUGGGGAGCUAUUCUAUAGUUGGGCGUCAGAUGCACAUGAAUUACCAAUAACACAGAUGGUUGAUGUUAUAAGGGGCAAGAUUAUGGAGUUGAUCUACACCCGACGGGCAGAAUCAAACCAAUGGCUGUCAAGACUAAGUCCAUCCAUGGAGGAAAAACUGAAAAAAGAAAGCCAUAAAGUCCAUUCCCUUCAAGUGCUACUGUCAGCUGGUAGCACAUUUGAGGUUCGUGGCGACUCCAUUGAAGUGGUUGACAUUGAUAAUUGGGAUUGUAGUUGCAAAAGGUGGCAGUUAACUGGUUUACCGUGCUGCCAUGCAUUUGCUGUUAUUGGUUGCCUUGGUCGGAGCCCUUAUGAUUAUUGUUCCAGAUACUUCACAACUGAGAGCUACAGAUUAACUUAUUCAGAGUCUGUACAUCCUAUUCCAAAUGUGGACAUGCCUGUGCAGAGAGAUUCUUCUCAGAUCACAGUAACUGUAACCCCUCCUCCCACCCGCCGUCCACCAGGGCGACCCACAACAAAGCGGUAUGGACCACAAGAGGUAGUGAAACGUCAACUCCAGUGCAGCAGGUGCAAGGGUCUUGGGCACAACAAGUCCACUUGCAGAGAGCUCAUUUAGAGUGUUAGACAUUGAUUGCACUGAAGGACAACGGGCAUCACAAUCUUGUACAUUUAACAACUGUAUUGGAGGGGCUGAAAGAUAAACCUGUAAUUUAGUUUUAAAUGACCAAGUCAUGAGAUGUAUGUAACGGUAGUUUCUCUUUUUGUUCUUUCUGUCUUUCUAACUUCAAUCUUUGCUAGUUUGAAUGACAUUUAGCGACAUGAAAAGAAUGUCUUAGGGUUGUUUGAAAGGUUUAUACAGUUGGAGUCACCUUGCUGAUGUAAAACAUCAAGUAUUUUGGUUAUUUGGGUUUUACCGUCCCCAAGUUUUGAGGGCAAGAGAAAUAGGAGUUUACUGAGUACAGUCCAAAUGUGGUUUGCUGAGGAUUACGUGCUGUUGAUACUGAUGGUGGCAUCUACUUCGAACACUAUCCAUUUUGUAGUGGGGACCAAAGGGCCUGUAUAACUUUGGUGUGGUGUUCUUGUUGGCCACAGUAAUAUCAGCUACGAAAUACCGAAGAUCAGCACUACAUGGCUCCGCUGGAUUGGAAGUUCUCUUUUUUUCUUAUGGGUAAGUAAAGGGGUAUUAAAAGCUGAAAAGAUGUAGAAGAUCAGAACAUGUGAUUCUCAUAUUUGCACGAAGUUGAAAAGCGUCUUGUUCUGGUUCUCAACCUUGCUUAUGUCCAGUCUUACAAAAAUGAAUUCUAAUGUUGGGCGACAAGGUAAUGGUGCCUUGUGAACAUUUGCCGGUGAUCGAACAGCCUAAUAGGCAUUCCUCUUGUAGUGGGGGUGGGUCCACCCUCUAUGACUGGAGAGCUGAUAUGCGAACAGGUCAGAGAACUUGUUGAAUUCAGCAUCAACUGUGUACGUUUUGAGCUCCAUAUUUCUCUUUGUCACCAUCAUUGGACGAAAAAGAGAUACGACCACAGACUGCAACAAGGCAAAAGAUGAGAUGAACUAACGGUCAGGUAAUCUGCUACGUGGAGUGAAAAACCCAGAUCUCGUUCAUGGCGUGAGCAUAAAACUGUAGAAUGCGGACCUGAUAUUGUUGUUCUUGUGCUUGAUGGAAAUAGAAUUUAGGACCAGUUGCCUCUGGUGACAGUUUUCAAAGAAGCCUUUGAGAGAUUCUUGGCUUUGUUUGGUAAAA